rnacentral:rRNA from 1 species
AGUGAACGCUGGCGGUAGGCCUAACACAUGCAAGUCGAACGGCAGCACAGAGGAGCUUGCUCCUUGGGUGGCGAGUGGCGGACGGGUGAGGAAUACAUCGGAAUCUACUCUGUCGUGGGGGAUAACGUAGGGAAACCUACGCUAAUACCGCAUACGACCCACGGGUGAAAGCAGGGGAUCUUCGGACCUUGCGCGAUUGAAUGAGCCGAUGUCGGAUUAGCUAGUUGGCGGGGUAAAGGCCCACCAAGGCGACGAUCCGUAGCUGGUCUGGGAGGAUGACCAGCCACACUGGAACUGGGACACGGUCCAGACUCCUACGGGAGGCAGCAGUGGGGAAUAUUGGACAAUGGGCGCAAGCCUGAUCCAGCCAUACCGCGUGGGUGAAGAAGGCCUUCGGGUUGUAAAGCCCUUUUGUUGGGAAAGAAAUCCAUCUGGUUAAUACCCGGGUGGGAUGACGGUACCCAAAGAAUAAGCACCGGCUAACUUCGUGCCAGCCGCCGCAGUAA